rnacentral:rRNA from 1 species
UAUUGGAGUUCGAUUAAGCCAUGCGAGUCUAAGGGGUACUUGUACCCCUGGCAUAAUGCUCAGUAACACGUGGAUAAUCUACCCUUAGGUGGGGCAUAAACCCGGGAAACUGGGGCUAAUACCCCAUAGAUACAGAACGCUGGAAUGCCUCUGUAUUCAAAGCUCCGGCGCCUAAGGAUGAGUCUGCGACCUAUCAGGUAGUAGUCAGGGUCACGACCUGACUAGCCAACGACGGGUACGGGGUGUGAGAGCACUUGCCCGGAGAUGGUUUCUGAGACAAGAAACCAGGCCCUACGGGGCGCAGCAGGCGCGAAAACUUCGCAAUGCGGGAAACCGUGACGAGGGAACUCCAAGUGUCUAUGCAAUGCAUAGACUGUUUUUCAGCCUAAAUAGCUGUUAGAGUAAGGGGUGGGUAAGACCCGGUGCCAGCCGCCGCGGUAACACCGGCACCCCGAGUGGUAGCCACUAUUAUUGGGCCUAAAGCGUUCGUAGCCGGUUUAGUAAAUUCUUGGGUAAAUCGUACAGCUUAACUGUGCGGAUUCCGGGGACACUACUAGACUUGAGACCGGGAGAGAAUUAGAGGUACUUGCAGGGGAGCGGUGAAAUGUUGUAAUCCUGCAGGGACCACCAGUGGACGAAGGCGUCUAAUCAUAACGGCUCUGACGGUGAGGAACGAAACCCUGGGGCGCAAACGGGAUUAGAUACCCCGGUAGUCCAGGGCGUAAACGCUGCUGACUUGGUGUUGGAGAUCC